rnacentral:sRNA from 1 species
CCUCUAAAAGCCUCCUUAGAUAAGAAUGCUAACGAAUGGCAAGAUCUGCCUAUUUAAGGAGAGGUCCUCGCUCUAUGACUUGAGACAAAGUCAACUAGAUAGGCUUGAGCUGCCCCACUAUAAAGAUGAAAUGACUGGGCCUCCUGACUUGGCUUUGAGACUCCCACCAUGACAGUGACUGGCAAGAGUGUAGGGGACUUCUUGGAGAGCAAUUGGAGCUCUCUCUUUCAGCUUGGAACAGCCUUCAUGGAAGGAGCUCUGGGAUUAACAGCUUUCGCCAGCACAUUCGGCGCUACUAAGGGCUCUUCACCAUGGAGCCAUUUCUCUAGCCCCUGCACCAAAUCACUUUUAGUGCCAAGUAAUUAAAAGUCAGGGUGCUGGACCCCAAGGACUCGUGAAGACAAGAGAAACGGAUGCCCCCCACAUCUUUAAAUCAGCUCUGAAGCAGAUUCCUGACGGAAAGUCUGAGAAGAGUUGCCUGCACAACAAUACAUCUGCCUGGGAUUAAUCCAAGACAGCCCCGAGCCCGCCAUGCGCUCCUCCAGGCUGUCUGCCCCAUUGCAGUCUGGGAAACCAAGGAAUGUCCGCAACAUAAGGAGCAGGUUCUGGAGCCAACAGGAGGAGGAUGGGCCAGGUCCCCUGUGAGAGAACAAGGCAGACCUUUGCCUGGGAGGUGACUUUGAUGAUCUACCCAUGCUUGGAUCAAUCCCAUCUGUUCUUCUCAUCUGUUCUGUGGAGACCUGAGGCUGCCAUGCUCCCUUUGUGUUUGGGACUGGGUUUCACUGAGUAGCUGUCUUAUCCUCCUGAGCGCAGGGAUCAUGGCUGUGUGUGACCACAGCCAGUCUUUUUUAUUUUAUUUUUUUCUGAUUUACAUUUUAAGCAUGUCACAGCAGGGAAGUCAAGGCAACAGGAGU